rnacentral:rRNA from 1 species
AGUGAACGCUGGCGGUAGGCCUAACACAUGCAAGUCGAACGGCAGCACAGUAAGAGCUUGCUCUUACGGGUGGCGAGUGGCGGACGGGUGAGGAAUACAUCGGAAUCUACUUUUUCGUGGGGGAUAACGUAGGGAAACUUACGCUAAUACCGCAUACGACCUACGGGUGAAAGUAGGGGAUCUUCGGACCUUGCGCGAUUGAAUGAGCCGAUGUCGGAUUAGCUAGUUGGCGGGGUAAAGGCCCACCAAGGCGACGAUCCGUAGCUGGUCUGAGAGGAUGAUCAGCCACACUGGAACUGAGACACGGUCCAGACUCCUACGGGAGGCAGCGGUGGGGAAUAUUGGACAAUGGGCGCAGUCCUGAUCCAGCCAUACCGCGUGGGUGAAGAAGGCCUUCGGGUUGUAAAGCCCUUUUGUUGGGAAGGAAAAGCGGCAGGUUAAUACCCCGCUGUUCUGACGGUACCCAAAGAAUAAGCACCGGCUAACUUCGUG